UGGGGAAUAUUGGACAAUGGGGGCAACCCUGAUCCAGCCAUGCCGCGUGUGUGAAGAAGGCCUUUUGGUUGUAAAGCACUUUAAGCAGGGAGGAGGGGCUAAUGGUUAAUACCCAUUAGAUUAGACGUUACCUGCAGAAUAAGCACCGGCUAACUCUGUGCCAGCAGCCGCGGUAAUACAGAGGGUGCGAGCGUUAAUCGGAAUUACUGGGCGUAAAGCGAGUGUAGGUGGCUCAUUAAGUCACAUGUGAAAUCCCCGGGCUUAACCUGGGAACUGCAUGUGAUACUGGUGGUGCUAGAAUAUGUGAGAGGGAAGUAGAAUUCCCAGGUGUAGCGGUGAAAUGCGUAGAGAUCUGGAGGAAUACCGAUGGCGAAGGCAGCUUCCUGGCAUAAUAUUGACACUGAGAUUCGAAAGCGUGGGUAGCAAAACAGGAUUAGAUACCCUGGUAGUCCACGCCGUAAAACGAUGUCUACUAGCCGUUGGGGUCCUUGAGACUUUAGUGGCGCAGUU
rnacentral:rRNA from 1 species